CAUGAAGAACGUAGCGAAAUGCGAUAAGUAGUGUGAAUUGCAGAAUUCAGUGAAUCAUCGAAUCUUUGAACGCACAUUGCGCCCCAUGGUAUUCCGUGGGGCAUGCCUGUUCGAGCGUCAUUUACCCCCUCAAGCUCCGCUUGGUGUUGGGCGUCUGUCCCGCUUCGCGCGCGGACUCGCCCCAAAGGUAUUGGCAGCGGUCGUGCCAGCUUCUCGCGCAGCACAUUGCGCUUCUCGAGGCACCGGUGGGCCCGCGUCCAUCAAGCUCACCCCCCCAGUUUGACCUCGGAUCAGGUAGGGAUACCCGCUGAACUUAAGCAUAUCAAUAAGCGGAGGA
rnacentral:misc_RNA from 1 species